AAUGACGGUUCUUAAUCUAAACCCUUAACAAGCAAACAAUAUACGAAGAAAGUACACAGACGACAGAAUCGGAGGUGAUGACAUGGCAGGCUAAAUACGAGGUUGAACUAAUAGCAUCAGAGCAUGCUGUUAAUGGACACACAAAAUUCAUCCCAGAUGAACUGUGUGGUAAGAGUAACAAAAUAGAAGAAGUCCCAACUUCAAACGAAAAAGCGAUAGUUUACGUUCCACCAGGCUUUGUUAAAGAUCCGUUGAGCUAACGCCAGCAAAAACGGAUACAUUCUUGUGGAUACACAUAAUAUGAGGAUUCCAACUUGGGAUAAAAUCAAGGAAGUAUUAAAGACGACAUCCGUUAUCACCGACGACUACAAACUCAUACAUAAAGAAGCACCACUUUUUUCCGCCAAAUAUGACAUCUUCGCAACAAGUCAGAAAAGAGUUAUAAAUAUUUAAUGUUUAGAAUAAUAAUCUUAAUUGACACUACUUUGAUAGAAUAUAAUAAUCUUUAUUGUAUUAUAGUAGUUACAAUAAACAGCUAUUAAGUAUUUUUUUAUUACUACCCCUAUUGAAAAAUUCCAUUAGGAUCCCACUCAAAAGUAACAAAAGCCACUUAUAUAUCAAUAGAUAUUUAUCGGCGAAUGAAAUGAAUUUUUCAAUAGGGACUUUAAUUUAUCAGUAAAGAAAGUGUGUUAAAUCAUGACCAAGAUAAAAUUAAAAUUGUAAAUUGACUAUAUAUAUAAUAUUAACUAUGCACAAACUGACAGAGUUUAUCUACAUUAGGUGUGUUUACUUAAAAAUUUACACAAAAAGUUAUGUAAAUAUGUGAUCUGAAUAAGGGAAAAAUAUGAAGGUAUGUACCUUAACGAUUCAACCGCGGGCGUAGACUGCCGUCUAGUAGUUGCUGCGUCCGACGAGGAGCCGCACCCGCCAUCAUACGGCAAACCGCUGAAUGCAAGAAAACUCGCGAUGUCACCCACUCAGAUUAUCCUCAGUGGAUGUUUCAAAACUGUGGGUCACGACUUCAGUUUGGACUAAAACUG